CGCCGAGUCCUGCCGCCGCCUGGAUGACCGGUCGACAGAAGUGGAUCGGCAGGAGUGGAGGACCCGAGCAAGACGGGUCGCCGCAGCGGACGUUCGUCUGUAUGUCGCAGACGGUCGGAGGCUUCGAGCGAUCCUUGGGGUGAAGCCGCGGCAACGCGGCCGGGCAACUUCGCCAGCCCGAAUCCGACAGGUCAUCCUUCACAGGCGGCUGACGAAGGGUUG
rnacentral:sRNA from 1 species